GAUGAACGCUAGCUACAGGCUUAACACAUGCAAGUCGCGGGGCAGCAUGGGGGUUGCUUGCAAUCCCCGAUGGCGACCGGCGCACGGGUGAGUAACGCGUAUCCAACCUGCCCUUCACCACGGGAUACCCCGGCGAACGUCGGCCUAAUACCGUAAGUUGUCCAUUGACGGCGUCCGAUUUGGUCGAAAGGCUUGGCGUUGAGGGAUGGGGAUGCGUCCGAUUAGCUAGACGGGGGGGUGACGGCCCACCGAGGCUACGAUGGGGAGGGGUUCUGAGAGGAAGGUCCCCCAGACUGGAACUGAGACACGGACCAGACUCCUACGGGAGGCAGCAGUGAAGAAUAUUGGUCGAUGGGCGUAAGCCUAAACCAGCCAAGUAGGGUGCAGAAGGACGGCCCUAGGGGUUGUAAACUGCUGUUAUGCGAGGAUAAAGUGGCCCACGUGUGGGCUUUUGCAGGUACCGAAUGAAUAAGGACCGGCUAAUUCCGUG
rnacentral:rRNA from 1 species